AACGCGAAGAACCUUACCAAGGCUUGACAUUCACGAGAACGGGCCAGAAAUGGUCAACUCUUUGGACACUCGUGAACAGGUGGUGCAUGGUUGUCGUCAGCUCGUGUCGUGAGAUGUUGGGUUAAGUCCCGCAACGAGCGCAACCCUCGUUCUAUGUUGCCAGCACGUGAUGGUGGGAACUCAUAGGAGACUGCCGGGGUCAACUCGGAGGAAGGUGGGGAUGACGUCAAAUCAUCAUGCCCCUUAUGUCUUGGGCUUCACGCAUGCUGCAAUGGCCGGUACAAAGGGCUGCGAUACCGUAAGGUGGAGCGAAUCCCAAAAAGCCGGUCUCAGUUCGGAUUGAGGUCUGCAACUCGACCUCAUGAAGUCGGAGUCGCUAGUAAUCACAGAUCAGCAACG
rnacentral:rRNA from 1 species